CUGACAGGUGGUGAAACCGGGCCCAGUGCAGGGCCAGGACCUGCCGGGAUCACAGGAGGCUGGGCAGCCGCCUCCCCCGCAUCCUCCCGGCUGACACCCUGUGCUGCGAGGUCAGGCCGCCCCGGCUGUGGGCACAGGAGCCCCGGCUGUGGGCACAGGAGCCCCGGCUGUGGGCACAGGAAUGGGCAGCAGGCUACCAAGCCGAGGGUCUGCAUGGGUCCUCCAGCCAUCUGUGGAGGCGCCCCACGGGCAGAGAGGGGAACGAGGGCCGUGUGUGCCUGGAUGGAGCAAGAUCUUUCCUCAUUGUGCGAAGAGCUGGUGCAGAACCUCCCUGAUCCACGCUCUCCGUCAGUCUUGCUCUGUUUUUGGGGUCCAUCCGGCCGCCACCAUGUCCUGGUCCCCGCUGAGCCCCAGGGCAAACUCUGAGGCCCCCCAGCCUCGUGGUCCUGCCACCCUCCCUGGCAGGUUCUUGUCGACUCAAGCCCAGUGAACGAGGCAGCUGGAGGACAGACUCGCGGUCGGCGCUGGGACCGAGGCGGCCCUGGGGGGCCGUGCUGCCCACCUCAGCUUUGCCUCCAGCAUCAGCUGCUCAGCUUGUCCCUUACCCUGGGGUCUUCUGUAAGUCCCGAGCACUGCAGCCCGUGGGAGGGGCUUUCUCCCAGCCCCAGUCCAUCUCCUGAUCACCACACUCCUCUCACAACGGCUUCUGGGUUCUGAGGUUUUCAUUCUCACAUCUGGCUUCUAUGGCAGGUAUAUAUGUAAAUGCAGGUCUAUGUGCAGAUAUGUGUACAUACGAAUUGUGUGUGUACAUAGCUAUGGUAUAUGUGAGUGCAUGCACCUACACACAGGUACAUGGUGUGUGUGUGUGUGUGUGUGGCAUGCACCCAUGCACACGUAUGCGGUAUAUGUGGUACAUGUGCACACAUAUGCAACACACGUGUAUAUGUGGCAGUGUGUGUGAUGCAUGUGGGUAUAUGAAUGUACAUGGUGUGUGUGGGAAUGCAUUGCACAUGUGUAAGUCUAUGUGUGAUAUGUAUACACAUGUGUGUGAUGUGUGUGG
rnacentral:lncRNA from 1 species